rnacentral:rRNA from 1 species
UACGUAGGGGGCAAGCGUUGUCCGGAUUUAUUGGGCGUAAAGAGCGUGUAGGCGGCUUUACAGGUCCGUUGUGAAAACUCGAGGCUCAACCUCGAGACGCCGGUGGAAACCGUAAAGCUAGAGUCCGGAAGAGGAGAGUGGAAUUCCUGGUGUAGCGGUGAAAUGCGCAGAUAUCAGGAAGAACACCCGUGGCGAAGGCGGCUCUCGUGGGACGGUACUGACGCUGAGACGCGAAAGCGUGGGGAGGCGAACA